rnacentral:rRNA from 1 species
UGGAUGAAGGGCAAAAUGGGAUUGGGAUAGGGCCCAAAUCUCCUACGGGGGGCAGCAGUAAGGAAUUUUAAACAGAGAGCAAAAGCUUGAUGGAGCGACACAGCGGCAGGAUGAAGUUCUUCGGAAUGUAAACUGCUGUUAUAAGGGAAGAAAAAACAGAAUAGGAAAGGAUUUUAUCUGACGGUACCC